UGCUCGGGCAACUUGAACAAAAGGAGAAACUCGGGUGAACUCCGCAUCUCUCCCGGAUUAGCUCAUCUUCGGCAACUUUGUCCGGAUAGAUCGAAGCAACUUUCUCCCAUCUCUCCCGACACUCUUCAAAGCGUUCAGCCCCUCUGUAAGCUCGUGAGGAAACUGGGGUUCGCGAUGUAAAGAAAGCAGAAGGUCAAAAACAUGGCUGUCUGGAGAAUGGGAUGCUUGCCAAAACAUCAAUCUGUGCUGGGUGCCAUACUGGUUAUCCUUCCAGUGGUGGAAUACAACUUGGGUCUCCUCAGGAGGUGACUGAUGUGGAACAAACUGUACCACACAUUGAUGGUGUGAAGACCUGAUGUCUUCGUUGUUUGGAUACAUGUGUAAGUUAACGAGUUACUGGGAGAAGACGAAGAAGCUUUUGCUGAAACAUGAGUAUAUUGUGGGAAAUGCUGCUGCUGACCAUUUGGAUUAUAUUGCUGCCUGACGCACAGGUUCUGCAGAUAACAUAAGGAACUCUCCAGAUCCUUUUUGUUGUGUGAUUGCUGAAGCAUUUUCCUGGCACAGCAGUAAUGAUUGAUGAACACUCUUCAGGGUCUUGCUUUGUGACCUGGGUUAUGAUCUAUGUCUGCUACUGAAGCUAUCUUGACUGGCGUGAGAAAUGUCUCUCUGCAUAUGCAGAGGUGCAGCACAGCCCCUGGCUCUCAAUACAAUCUACAGAUGAAGGAGGCAAAAUAACAAUUCCAGGCACUGUAAAGAGGACCUUUUUCUUUGAUGAGGACAUUGCUGGGUUUAACUAGCAGAAGGCACGAAGCUGCACUGUUCAGAAGAAGCAAGAUUCUUUCCUCACAGCUACGGCACUGCGACACAGCCUGCUUUUUCGCAUUUACCUGGGUGGCUGCUGCUGGUUCUGCUGCUGCUGCAGCCUCGCUGCCUGCACUUCACCCCAGCUUGGCUGAUGCGAGUCUCCCUCAUCUGCACAUCGCUAAGGAAGAGAAGCGAUGGAGCCGCAAUUUUUCUGUUGGUUCUGGAAGCAAAGGGUUGUGAUGUGGGGUGGUUUGGGGGUUUUGUUUUUUUUGGUGGGGAGAAAAAGAAGGGAUGUUAAUCUAGGGUGGAAUGGGUAAAAGCUUAAAGAAAUAUGAUGAAAAGUAAUCCAGUGCUCAACAAGGGCAUCAGCAGCAAGAAUCCAGCCUCUGCUGCUCCAGAGGAUUAAGAUGGGGAAAGCCACAGAGCUGCAGUCGAGUUGCACCUCAGCGUUGUGCUGGAGAUGGAUAAACAAGGUAUUGGUCGUAUCUGCCUGCUGAGGCACAGCCACGGGAGGAAGAGCGAGCGAGAGAGUGCGUGCAAAUGCAGUGGAAGAAGAAACGCUGCGUGCUGUUUGUCUGAUUCUGUGCAUUCUCAAUGUGGAGAGGAUGGGGUGAUUAAGAAAGCAAUGUAUGGAUGGAGGCACUGUGAAUUGUAGCUCGAACACUCCUGAUGCUGUCAGGGAGGGAACUGAUGAGCUAGGUGGCUGCAGCAAUAUCCCCAGGGAAAACAGCGGCCAUGCUGUGUAUGUAUGUGCUUAUGUAUGUGUGUGCUUAUGCGUGUGGGAGCAUGUACAGGCAUGAAAGAAAGACAUUUCUGACCAAUUUACAGAGGAAGCUUGUCACUUUGAUGGUCAGACUUGAUUGCAGCUUGUAUUUUCAGCUCUAGCUCUACACCCAAUUCCUGAGUGAGGCGGCACUUUGCGAAUGCAGAUGUAGGCAGAAUUCUUAUAAGAAAUGUGAAAGCAGAUCCUUUCCAUUUAACACCUUGGAGCACUGAAUCUUCUGCACUGUGUUGAGAGAAGCUAAGGGGAGGGGGUCAUUUUUUCUAUCUUAAAAUCUUUACAGACACAGCUAUAUUCAGUGCGGCAAAAAAUUCUAUGCUGUAAUAGAAAUGUGAUCAAUCUAAUCAAAAUAAAUGCAUCCCAGAUGACCUCUAGA